ACUCCUACGGGAGGCAGCAGUGGGGAAUAUUGCACAAUGGGGGAAAGCCCAUCGAUGCAGCCAUGCCGCGUGUGUGAAGAAGGCCUUCGGGUUGUAAAGCACUUUCAGCGAGGAGGAAAGGGUGUGUGCUAAUACCAUACAUCUGUGACGUUACUCGCAGAAGAAGCACCGGCUAACUCCGUGCCAGCAGCCGCGGUAAUACGGAGGGUGCGAGCGUUAAUCGGAAUUACUGGGCGUAAAGCGUGCGCAGGCGGUUUGUUAAGCGAGAUGUGAAAGCCCGG
rnacentral:rRNA from 1 species